rnacentral:rRNA from 1 species
AUUGAACGCUGGCGGCAGGCCUAACACAUGCAAGUCGAACGAGUGGCGGACGGGUGAGUAAUGUCUGGGAAACUGCCUGAUGGAGGGGGAUAACUACUGGAAACGGUAGCUAAUACCGCAUACCAUCGGAUGUGCCCUGGUGGGAUUAGCUAGUAGGUGGGGUAAAGGCUCACCUAGGCGACGAUCCCUAGCUGGUCUGAGAGGAUGCCCAGCCGCACUGGCACUGAGACACGGUGCAGACUCCUACGGGAGGCCGCAGGGGGGAAGAUUGCAAGAUGGGCGAAAGCCUGAUGCAGCCAUGCCGCGGGGAUGAAGAAGGCCUUCGGGUUGUAAAGUUCUUUCAGCGGGGAGGCGUUACCCGCAGAAGAAGCACCGGCUAACUCCGUGCCAGCCGCCGCGGUAAUUC